rnacentral:rRNA from 1 species
GACGAACGCUGGCGGCGUGCCUAAUACAUGCAAGUUGAGCGAUGAAGAUUGGUGCUUGCACCAAUUUGAAGAGCAGCGAACGGGUGAGUAACGCGUGGGGAAUCUGCCUUUGAGCGGGGGACAACAUUUGGAAACGAAUGCUAAUACCGCAUAACAACUUUAAACAUAAGUUUUAAGUUUGAAAGAUGCAAUUGCAUCACUCAAAGAUGAUCCCGCGUUGUAUUAGCUAGUUGGUGAGGUAAAGGCUCACCAAGGCGAUGAUACAUAGCCGACCUGAGAGGGUGAUCGGCCACAUUGGGACUGAGACACGGCCCAAACUCCUACGGGAGGCAGCAGUAGGGAAUCUUCGGCAAUGGACGAAAGUCUGACCGAGCAACGCCGCGUGAGUGAAGAAGGUUUUCGGAUCGUAAAACUCUGUUGGUAGAGAAGAACGUUGGUAAGAGUGGAAAGCUCAUCAAGUGACGGUAACUACCCAGAAAGGGACGGCUAACUACGUG